CCUACGGGUGGCAGCAGUCGGGAAUAUUGCGCAAUGGAGGAAACUCUGACGCAGUGACGCCGCGUGCAGGAAGAAGGUUUUCGGAUUGUAAACUGCUUUAGGCAGGGAAGAAACACGACAGUCCCUGUAACAUACGCUCCGGCUAACUACGUGCCAGCAGCCGCGGUAAUCCGUAGGGAGCAGGCGUUAUCCGGAUUUAUUGGGUGUAAAGGGUGCGUAGACGGGAAGUCAAGUUGGUUGUGAAAUCCCUCGGCUUAACUGAGGAACUGCAACCAAAACUAACGGUCUGGAGUGCUGGAGAGGAAAGUGGAAUUCCUAGUGUAGCGGUGAAAUGCGUAGAUAUUAGGAGGAACACCAGUGGCGAAGGCGACUUGCUGGACAGCAACUGACGUUGAGGCACGAAAGUGUGGGGAGCAAACAGGAUUAGAUACCCUAGUAGUC
rnacentral:rRNA from 1 species